AGACUAACGGGCUUCGAUCCCGUAAAAAAUUAAUUAACAACCAACCGCCCCAGCCAGCGGGCCUUAGCCUAGCUUCU
rnacentral:tRNA from 1 species